rnacentral:rRNA from 1 species
CCGAGGAGUCCUGGCCGUUCGCGAGUCGUAGGGGCCCAUUUGACUAACCCCGGAGGCGUAGCGAAAGCGAGAGAGCGUGUCGGAGGGCUCCGGGCCGGGAGAGGUGUCGCGGCGAAGUUGCCUCCGGGCUUCCGAGCUGUGCCCGAUUCCGCCGGGGCGGCGUCCCCGCCAAUUCCAAUCCCCGUCGUUAGCGUCGCUUCGGCGGCGACUCGACUCCCGCAAGGGAGAAAGGUUUCGGCGGUGGCGGAGGGGGCGUCACUCUCCUCCUUCCGCCCGUCGGUGAGAUCCCGCGCGCGACAGACCGUGCGCGGGCGCACCACCCCCGGGUCGGAUUUCCGAGUACGACUCGGCCGACUCUGGUGUAGCGAGCGGCCAGGGACCCGAAAGAUGGCGAUCCACGCCCGGUCGGGAUGAAGCCAGAGGAAACUCUGGUGGAAGUCCGAAGCGCCUCUGACGUGCAAAUCGAUCGUCGGAACCGGGUGUAGGGGCGAAAGACCAAUCGAGCCGUCUA